AUUAAAUGGCUGAAUUUAGGCGAUAGACUGUAAAUCUAUUUAUAAGAAUUAAUUCUUUUUAAUCA
rnacentral:tRNA from 4 species